rnacentral:rRNA from 1 species
UACAGAGGGUGCGAGCGUUGUUCGGAAUUAUUGGGCGUAAAGGGCGCGUAGGCGGUGCGGCAAGUCACCUGUGAAAUCUCCCGGCUCAACUGGGAGCCUGCAGGCGAAACUGCCGUGCUUGAGUAUGGGAGAGGUGAGUGGAAUUUCCGGUGUAGCGGUGAAAUGCGUAGAUAUCGGAAGGAACACCUGUGGCGAAAGCGGCUCACUGGACCAUAACUGACGCUGAUGCACGAAAGCUAGGGGAGCAAACAGG